AUGUCAGUCCUUAAAAAGAAAACUCAAGAGCAAAGAUGGUUGAAGAUAGAAGGUUUAAUUAUGAAACUUUUAACUUUUCAAAAAAUAUUCUUUUGGAAGAGAAAAAUUUCUAUAAAUAGCCUUUUCUGUUUUAAAGUUACACUGUACCUCUGGCAAUGUUUCCUGAAACAAUUUCAGCCCAGAGCCAGCUAAUGGCUUGGGAUCAUUUCUAUAGAUCUUGGUUUGCCUUUUUGUAUGUGUGUGGCCUUCAGGGAUGUUACAGUUUGCUGUUUAGUAAAUUGACUCACAGUUUGAAAGCAUUCUUUUGUCAUUAAACACACAUGAAAAGGGGGACUCUCUCCAGGCAGAAUGCACCAUCAGAUUGAAUGGACAAAAACUUGGAACCACUAUCAGUAUUAAGAAUCCUGGACUCAUCAUCUUCAAUCUGCUCAACUUAAAAAAAAAAAAAAAUCAGAGUCAGGUUUACUGUGGCUCAUCUUUCUGUUGCAUCAUUGAUUUAGAAAUGUUGCCAAGUACAUGUAAAUACGAAAUAAAAUGAACUUGGCUAUAAAAGAUUUUGUAUUUAUUUAUCUACUUUGUGAAUCACUGUACCCAUAUUUAUGGAAUCUUUUUAAGGCUUGGAACUUUUUGUUCGUAAAUACAACAGCUUUUAAUUUCUGAACAUUAAGUUUUUAUCCUAGCUCUUGACGAAUAGCUUACAUUCAUGUAUUUUUAAUAUUUCUUUUAAAUAACACACACAUACAUUAUCUCACUUGAUCCUUACAAUAACUUGCAAAAGAGUGUAAGUGCUUCCCUCUCAUUUAAAAAGCAAAGAGAUGGAGUGGCGGAAGUUAUACAGUUUGCUCAGUUACCUUCUGAUUAGUGAGGGAAGUAGAUUCACAACUGUGAACUACUGAACUGUGGAACUGAUUCACAAUCAGUUACCUUCUGAUUAGUGAGGGAAGUAGAUUCACAACUGACAAAUCUAGAAUGCUCAGUGUUUUGAGCUAUUCAUUUGUUUCUUCAGAAAAAUCUUUAAGCUGGCUAUAAAGUGAGCAAAUGGAUAUCAUCCAGAGCCCUCUUCUCAUUCAAGUGCCACCACUUCCUGCCUUUCAUAACUAAAAUUUGGAAAAUGAAGUUCAAGCAUACUAUCUCUUUUCUCUAGGCUGGUCAUUCCUCAAGCUCCCUCAGGCUGACACAAGUCUGCAAUCCUAGACUAGUGUAGCAAUCCCUUCUCUGUGUUCCCUCAGCACUAUGCAUAUCUCCAUACAUGACACAUCUGUUUUUCCCACAAGACUGAGUUCUUUAAGAUAAAGGACUCCAUCCUCUUAACUUCUGUAUCCACAAUACCUAGCAUAGCGGUAAGCAUAGCACACACCUCAAUAAAUAUUUGUUGAAUGAAGGAAUGAAUAAAAGAAUCAUAAUGAGACUAAAAAGGCAUUAUUUUAAGAAAGGAAUUGCCUUUGAUUGGAAAAAUAUCUCAAUAAGCUAUUUGAGAUAAACAACGAGAGCUGAAGGCAUGGAUUGGAAAGUGAGAGCACAGGCAGCAUGGGAAGAAGAACAGCUAAAUCAUUUUGUACAAGAUGAAGAGGAAUUUGGUCUUUGCUAGAGAGUUGAGAAAGAGCAAAUAAAGAAAAAGACCACAUAAAGAUGAUGAAAGGAAUCUCUGAAAUGGACAAGUUGGAGACCCCUGGUGGUGGUAGGAUCCAUCCGAAGCUGUCUGCACUGCUGAAAUAUAAAACCCACCAUAUCUCCUCUUAUAUUAUCCCACCCCUUGUUUGAAUAAAAUUUCCCAUACUCACAAGUAUUAUACAUAGUAUUUUUUGAAAAUUGUGAAAAGACCUGAGUUUCAUAUCUGGACUAACAAUGAGGAAACAAAUCAUAGUCACCAGAGUUGAGGAUCCAGUUACUUCAUGACAGCAAAAGUCUAUCAGAAAUAUGACAAAAUUCGGAAAUGAACUUGAAUUUCUAGAAACACAGAAAUGUGGGCUCAAGCUAGUCUUAUAUAGAUUUUAAGGAGAUAAGACAUCUGAACUGACAUGAAAAGCUUCCUAAUGACAGAAUGAAUGAAACCGAGCAAUAUAAAUUACAAAAAGAGGAAUUUGAUUCAUUUAUUCACACAAACAUCCAUUUAUUCAGGUAACUUUCAUUAAGCACCAAGGUAUCUCAGUUUCUAGAAAUAAAACUGCAAAACAGGUAUGGAUCAUGCCUUAUAAAACUUACAGUAUAGGGGAAAUACAGAUGACCUCUGACAGUAUAAUAGAUGAAGAUGUAGAAUAUUAUGGAGGUAUUUAGAAGUGCACCUCAACCUGACUCAAGUUAUUGGGAAGGACUUUUAGUAAUUAAUGUCUAAGCUGAAAAUUAAAAGUUCCAGUUGAGAGAUUGGUAGCAAUAUUCCAGGCACAGGAAACAGCAUACGUGAAAUCCCAGAAAUGAGAGGGAGCCUGGCAUGUUGAGCAUUUGAAAGUAGUGUUGAAAGGCUGGAGCCUCGAGAGAGAGCUUAAAUUGACAAAGGAUGAGGGUGGGGUGAUAUAUAGGGAACAAAUCAUGAAGAACUUGUAAGCCAUGUUAAGGAGCUUGUGCUUUACGCUGAAGCAACGUGGAGUCACUAAACAGUUCUUAGUGCAAGUAAUACAUUGGUUAGAUCCUCAAGAAUGAUCAUUCUGGCAGCAGCAUAGAGACAGGAUUAUAGCAAGGCAGCCUGGAGGUGGAGAAACCAGUUGGAUGAAUUAGCAUUCCCAGUGAGAGAGUGAUGAUUGAAGUAGGAAAGGGAUCAUGUGCAUACAGAGGAUUUAAACUACUUAGGGAUAUUUAGAGAUAAUAUUCACUAUACGGGGUGGUUAACUGAAUAUGAACAUGGAAAUAGAGAGAGUUGUCCAGGAAAACACACAAGGUUGGGCAACUGGGUGCUGCCCCUCACUGUUAUAUAUAAAUCACAAGUAAAGAAAAUAUCAGGGUGUGGGGGGGAGGGAAAUAAUAGCUUUUGUGGAGACACAUAGAGUUUGAUAUUUAUAUGAAACUCUAAGUGGAGAUCUCCAGAAAAACACUGGGCACCAAGGGAAGCUCAGGAGAGAGAUCUGGGAUAUAAAGUUGAAAGCUAUAAACAAAUUGACUCAAAAAAAAAAAAAAAAAAAAAGACUGAACUUCAAGGCCAAAGAAUGAAUAAGAUCAUCCAGGGAACAUGUGACAGUGAGUAGAAGACAGGGCUCGAGACUAGCUUCGAGAAGAACUGCCACUUGUCAGUAGGAUAAAUUUUGAAAGGUAUUCACAGAUUUUUCUACAAAAAAAGCAUUUCUGACCUUUCUGAAGGAGUUUCAGGGACAAAGUUCAAUAAGCUGGAAAUCAAUUCAGCAUAUGAAGGAAUGAAAGGAAGAAGAAGAUGGAAAAUAUAACAGGAGUACAUAAAAUUUAGCUAUAAUAAGUACAGCAUAAGCUAAGGAAAUAUGAGGAUUUUUAAUACAUGAGAUAUUUGAGCCUGCUUAACUGCUGAGAGAAAAGAACUACUAGAGAAGGAAGAUGUAAGAGAAAGAUGGUCAGUACUACACAUAUUCUCUUAUGUAGGCAGGAAACGACGCAAGUACUGUUCUAGGAAAAGAAGAAAUCCUUAAUAAAGUAACAGGAUGUGGGGCAGAAGAGAUGUGGCAUUCCUGCCUAAUGACUUCUAACCUUUCUGUGGACCAGGAACCAGGGAUCCUCCUGACAUGAGGGACAGCAAUGGAGAGAGAACACACGUUUUGGCGGGGUCAAAUUUUAAAGCAACGCUAUCUUGAAAUAACAUUUGUGGAGAAUAGGUAGGAACUGACUAGAAAGAAAGGAGUGCUAGAUAGCAACACCAAAAACACAAGUGAGGUGAAGAACAUAAAUGUGUGUGCUACUCUACCCAAUUUAUUUUUAGGAUCUUGGCAAGAAAAUAAGGUGAUGAGUGGUGAUGUCUCAGUGGAACAAGACAUCCAAGCACCUGGCCUUCAAGAGGCUUCAAGGAGAGCAGGAGGGGCUGAUGCCAAGAUCUCUCUGAUGCCACACACUAUUCAUUUGGAAACAACUUUAAAAUUGCAAGGGCAUUUAUUUUUAAGAAAUAAAAGUUGCCUUCUGGGACACAUUACCUAAAUAAAUGACACCUCUAUGACAGUAAAAAUUUAGCUCAAUUUUUAAGGAAAUGGACAAUAAAGAAAAUUCAAUGAUCAAUUUUCUCUUAAUGCAUGGAACCAGUUAAUCAAAUGCACUUCCACAGGCCUUUAAAAGUACCACCUGCUUAGCGCUGGGUUGUAUUAUAGAAACAAAACUGUAUUUUAAAAUCAUUUAUUAGACUUAUAACUAGGGAUGCCAGUUAAUACUAAAGACCUUGAGGAAAAUUAUAAUUGCC
rnacentral:lncRNA from 1 species